GACAGAGGUGCCGAGCGUUAGGCGGAAUCACUGGGCUUAAAGCGUGUGUAGGCGGAUCUGUAAGUACCUUGUGAAAUCCCACGGCUUAACCGUGGAACUGCUUGGUAUACUGGCGGUCUUGAGCCAGCUAGGGGCUACCGGAACAAAUGGUGGAGCGGUGAAAUGCGUAGAUAUCAUUUGGAACGCCAAUGGUGAAAACAGGUAGCUGGGGCUGUGCUGACGCUGAGACACGAAAGCCAGGGGAGCAAACGGG
rnacentral:rRNA from 1 species